GGGACAAAGCCAGAAUAUACAUGGGAGCUAUGUUCGUCCAAAUUUUGGCCUGUUAAGUCUCCUGACAAAUGCAGCAACGAAGAAAUCUUGUAGGCGUUUUUAGGCUCGGUGUGAGCUACAUUCCCUAAUCAAGUUUCACUGCUGUGGAUCAUCAUCCAUUCUAUGUCAUCAAUUCAACUGUCUAUUUCUCUGUAUUUCAUCGAAGAAGGCAUAAUUCUACAUUAUGAGCUAAAAGUCUGUUCUAUCCUAUUAAAGAAAGUUGGACUAAGGAAUCAAGAUCUAAGAGAAAGGCUUGGGCGUUAGCAAUACAACAAUCAAAACCACAAGUUCAUGGUUAAUAUUGCACCUGAAUUACGUUCCACUGCUGGACUUGAUCUGUGGUUACAAUAAUUGGAAAGGUCAACUGGAGAGUAAUCAUCCCAAUCAGCCUUAGAGAAGACUGUUUUGUCUACAGAAGGACACUAAGGUAUAGAAGACAAUUUUUCUUGUGCCCUAGACUGCCUGAAUUCCUUUUAUUUUCUUAUGUUUCAGUAUAUACAAUAGACCAAAGAGCAAAAUCUAUUUUAAAGUGGACACGAUGUUACUGUUAACAAGAUUGUUUAGAUUCAACAGUAUGAAAACCACCCUGUACAAAUUCAGUUCACGCUGUGAGGAAAUGUUACUUUCCAGGAAAAGCCUUGAUGGAACACUGCAGAAGAAGCUGGAGCUACUCUUGGACAAAACUACCCUAAAAAUCACAAGGGAACAUGGAGAGAUUAUGACCAAUCUUAAAGAAGAAAACAGAACUUUUGAUUCAAAACAAGACAAACUGUCUACGCACCAUUUUACUCUGUGCUUAGAUUGACUUAUCAUACUAAAAUCAUUCUAAGUUUAACCAGUUCAACAUGCCUCUUCUAUGGUUCCAUUCUUUGAUCGUUAAAAGUUGGAUAAUACAGUAUUUGCAAAGAGCAUGUUUGGUCAUCUGUGGCCUAUGUCUCAUCCGAUACAUUUAGCGCCAGAAAGCAAAUCCAGGGGGAAGGAGGGGGGGGUGGAGGGGAAAGUAACACUUGUUUGAAAGAGAUCAUUAAAUGUAUUUUGAAAAGCCUAAAGUUAUAUAUUUAACAGUUUUUAUAUGUUGUAUAUUUGUAGAAAAUCCUAUUUAACAAUUAACGUGGACGGUCAUGACAAAAAGAUUCAGAGUUGAGUUGUUGUUUUUAUUACUUCAGUUGUCUCUGAAGUGGCUGAUGUAGUUUGCUUUCUUCCAUUGGGACAUUCUGGAUGUAAAGCAUGACCAGAGAGGAAUCUGUAGAAAAGCAAAGAAUAAUGGUGUUUAUAUUACAUAAAUGCAUUCAACCAUUGCACUGUUGAAAGGCUUCCUUUCUCUCUUCUCUUCCUCUUCCUUUGUCUCUUUGUUUCUUUUCUUUUUGUUUUCUUUCCUUCCUUUUCUUUUUCCUUUUCCUUUUUCCCCUUGGAAGGGAGUGAUAGUCUUUUAAAUGCCAGUAAAACAGUGUAAAAUAGUUGAAUAGUCAUUAGUUUCCAUACUCAGUCGCAUUCUUUCUAUCUCCCCGCCAUGCCUCCUCUCCCACCCUUCCUAAUUUAGUACAAAGGCCAGCUUGCUCCUUGAUCAAAAUAUUUUUUUUACAUCACAUUUUUGAAAACUCCCUUAUUCAACUUUAUGGUACAAAAAAUGUUAAAAGGAAAAUGGUAUUUCAAAAAAGAAAAGCAUUGACACCUUCAAAUAUA